rnacentral:rRNA from 1 species
AUACGGAGGGUGCGAGCGUUAUCCGGAAUCAUUGGGUUUAAAGGGUCCGCAGGCGGAUUAAUAAGUCAGUGGUGAAAUCCUCUCGCUCAACGAGAGAACUGCCAUUGAAACUGUUAGUCUUGAAUUCGGUCGAAGUAGGCGGAAUGUGUCAUGUAGCGGUGAAAUGCAUAGAUAUGACACAGAACACCGAUAGCGAAGGCAGCUUACUAGACCUGGAUUGACGCUCAUGGACGAAAGCGUGGGGAGCGAACAGGAUUAGAAACCCCAGUAGUCC